UACGUAGGUGGCAAGCGUUGUCCGGAUUUAUUGGGUUUAAAGGGUGCGUAGGCGGCCUUAUAAGUCAGUGCUGAAAUAUCCCGGCUUAACCGGGAGGGUGGCAUUGAUACUGUAGGGCUUGAGUAGAGUUGAGGUUGGCGGAAUUGACGGUGUAGCGGUGAAAUGCUUAGAUAUCGUCAAGAACACCGAUAGUGUAGACAGCUAACUAAGCUCAAACUGACGCUGAGGCACGAAAGUGUGGGGAUCAAACAGG
rnacentral:rRNA from 1 species